GACGAACGCUGGCGGCGUGCUUAACACAUGCAAGUCGAACGGAAAGGCCCUUCGGGUUACUCGAGUGGCGAACGGGUGAGUAACACGUUGGUGAGCUGACCUGCACUUUGUGAUAAUCCUGUGAAACUGGGUCUAAUACCGUAUAGGACCACGCUCUUCUUGGUGUGUGGUGGAAAUCGUUUGCGGCGGGGGUUGGGUCCGCUGUCGAUCGGCUUGUUAGUGGGGUGAUGGCAUACCAAGGCGACGAGGGGUAACCGGCCUGGGAGGGUGAACGGGCACAAUAGGACUACGAUACGGCGCAGACUCGAACGGGAGGCAAUAGGGGAGAAUAUUGCACAGUGGGCGCAAGCGUGAUGCAGAGACGCCGGGUGAGGAAAGACGGCCUUCGGGUUAAAAACCACUUUCAAUGGAGACGAAGCGGAAGUGACGGUACCUAAAGAAGAAGCACCGGCCAACUACGUG
rnacentral:rRNA from 1 species